rnacentral:rRNA from 1 species
UACGUAGGGUGCGAGCGUUAAUCGGAAUUACUGGGCGUAAAGCGUGCGCAGGCGGUCUGUUAUGUCUGAUGUGAAAGCCCCGGGCUCAACCUGGGAAUGGCAUUGGAAACUGGCAGGCUCGAGUUUGGCAGAGGGGGGUGGAAUUCCGCGUGUAGCAGUGAAAUGCGUAGAGAUGUGGAGGAAUACCGAUGGCGAAGGCAGCCCCCUGGGAUAACACUGACGCUCAUGCACGAAAGCGUGGGGAGCAAACAGG